GAUGAACGCUAGCUACAGGCUUAACACAUGCAAGUCGAGGGGCAGCAUGAAGUUUUCUUCGGAAGACUUUGAUGGCGACCGGCGCACGGGUGAGUAACGCGUAUCGAACCUGCCUCAUACUCGGGAAUAGCCUUGCGAAAGUAAGAUUAAUGCCCGAUGUUCUUGGUGUUCCGCAUGAGGCGCCAAGCAAAGAUUCAUUGGUAUGAGAUGGCGAUGCGUCCCAUUAGCUUGUUGGCGGGGUAACGGCCCACCAAGGCAUCGAUGGGUAGGGGUUCUGAGAGGAAGGUCCCCACAUUGGAACUGAGACACGGUCCAAACUCCUACGGGAGGCAGCAGUGAGGAAUAUUGGUCAAUGGACGGAAGUCUGAACCAGCCAAGUAGCGUGCAGGAAGACGGCCCUCCGGGUUGUAAACUGCUUUUAGUUGGGAAUAAAACGCGGGACGUGUCCCGCCUUGUAUGUACCAUCAGAAAAAGGACCGGCUAAUUCCGUGCCAGCAGCCGCUGUAA
rnacentral:rRNA from 1 species